GAAACUAUAGUCAUAUUACAAACAUAAUGAUAUAUAAUUUGCACUUAUAAGGAGUUUAAAAACUAGUUUCA
rnacentral:tRNA from 1 species